CCUACGGGAGGCAGCAGUGAGGAAUAUUGGUCAAUGGACGAGAGUCUGAACCAGCCAAGUCGCGUGAAGGAUGACUGCCCUAUGGGUUGUAAACUUCUUUUAUAUGGGAAUAAAAUGUUCCACGUGUGGGCUUUUGUAUGUACCAUAUGAAUAAGGAUCGGCUAACUCCGUGCCAGCAGCCGCGGUAAUACGGAGGAUCCGAGCGUUAUCCGGAUUUAUUGGGUUUAAAGGGUGCGUAGGUGGAUUGUUAAGUCAGUGGUGAAAGUUCGCGGCUCAACCGUGAAAUUGCCGUUGAAACUGGCAGUCUUGAGUACAGUAGAGGUGGGCGGAAUGCGUGGUGUAGCGGUGAAAUGCUUAGAUAUCACGCAGAACUCCGAUUGCGAAGGCAGCUUACCGGACUGCAACUGACACUGAGGCACGAAAGUGUGGGUAUCAAACAGGAUUAGAUACCCGGGUAGUC
rnacentral:rRNA from 1 species